rnacentral:rRNA from 1 species
CCUACGGGGGGCAGCAGUAGGGAAUAUUGGACAAUGGGGGAAACCCUGAAGCAGCGACGCCGCGUGAGGGAUGAAGGAUUUAGGAUGGUAAACCUCUUUUGGGAGAGAAGAAAAUGACGGUACCUGACGAAUAAGCACCGGCUAACUACGUGCCAGCAGCCGCGGUAAUACGGAGGGGGCAAGCGUUAUGCGGAAUAACUGGGCUUAAAGAGUGCGCAGGCGGGCGCGUAAGUCAGUAGUGAAAUGCUGGGGCUUAACUCCAGAACUGCAUUUGAAACUGUGAGGCUAGAGUGCAGGAGAGGUAGGCGGAAGUCGUGGUGUAGCGGUGAAAUGCGUAGAUAUCAGGAGGAAUACUGACUGCGAAGGCGGCUUACUGGACCGUAACUGACGCUGAUGCUCGAAAGCGUGGGGAGCAAACAGGAUUAGAUACCCGAGUAGUC